rnacentral:rRNA from 1 species
UACGUAGGGUCCGAGCGUUGUCCGGAAUUAUUGGGCGUAAAGAGCUCGUAGGCGGCUUGUCGCGUCGUCCGUGAAAACCUGCGGCUCAACUGCAGGCUGGCGGUCGAUACGGGCAGGCUGGAGUUCGGUAGGGGAGACUGGAAUUCCUGGUGUAGCGGUGAAAUGCGUAGAUAUCGAGAGGAACACCUGCGGCGAAGGCGGGUUGCUGGGCUGACACUGACGCUGAUGCGCGAAAGCUAGGGGAGCGAACGGG